UGGGGCAGCUCACUACUGGAAACAGCAGUGGGAAACCCAGUAUGAAGGUUACUUUUGUCACUGGUGCUUUUCCCAGUGUUGCUGGCAGCAGGUGUUGCUGGCACCUAUUGAGACAAAUCCCUUCCCAGGCUGCUUCCUGGAUUAAUGUGAUCCCAUUCUUGAACACAACACAAAACUCUCUGAAAGGAGUCCCUGGCUAUGCUUCCCUUCAGCUUGCCAUACACUUCUAAAAGUUUCUAGUCCGUGGCAUACACAGUUCCUAUUGAAAACAAUGGAUGGAUAAAGAUGCAGUCUGCACACCCAGAACAGAUAUUUCCUUUUCUGUUUUCUGCCCCAGAGUGAUGCAUCUUAACACAAAGAGUCUCCUCAUGUCUGUGGCAUUUCAUACUGAUUUCUUAAUAAUAACAGAGCUGUUGAUAAAUAAAUCCUCUCUGGUUAGCCGCAGUAAGAGGCAUGUUUUGUUUGGCGUUGUUCUGGGGAUCAUAGAGCCCCAGAGAAGGUUUAGGAGAGCAGUGCAUAUCCUUCAUAACAAAGGUUGAUGUUGUGUAAGCCACAUGUCCUGCCUCCAGAAGCAUCAUCAUAAAGAACUGAGUGAAACUUUUCUCCAAAAUAAGUAGUUCCAGGUGGUGAGCCUUGUCAAGCACAAAGCCAGCACUCCGAGGCAGCUCAGUUACGUCACUGAAAUAUCUUUCAUGGCUCAACAUGCAGGUCAGAAAACACAGUUCCAUAACUUUUUCUUUUUUGUUCUUUGGCUGGUUGGUUUGUUUGUUUUCUGAGUGGCAACUUAUGACCAACUAUUCUGGCUGCUAUAAAUUACCUGCAACAUUUUGAAUAGUGCAGUAUAAGCCCAAAUUCUUUUCUGAAUCCUGAUGUGUAUGUAUUGCAAUAUCAAUUAACUCCAUGUUUUUUUAAAGAAAUUAGGUGUACAUCAUUGGGAAUUUACAGUAUGUGA